AAGGGUAGAGCUCAGCGGUAGGGCAUGUGCUUAGCAUGCACAAGGUCCUAGGUUCAAUCCCCAGUACCUCCA
rnacentral:tRNA from 1 species